CGUUCCAUUAGUUAGUUGGCGGGGUAACGGCCCACCAAGACAACGAUGGAUAGGGGUUCUGAGAGGAAGGUCCCCCACAUUGGAACUGAGACACGGUCCAAACUCCUACGGGAGGCAGCAGUGAGGAAUAUUGGUCAAUGGACGAGAGUCUGAACCAGCCAAGUAGCGUGAAGGAUGACUGCCCUAUGGGUUGUAAACUUCUUUUAUAUGGGAAUAAAACGUUCCACGUGUGGGAUUUUGUAUG
rnacentral:rRNA from 1 species